GACGAACGCUGGCGGCGUGCUUAACACAUGCCAGUCGAACGGAAAGGCCCUGCUCUUGUGGGGUGCUCGAGUGGCGAACGGGUGAGUAACACGUGAGUAACCUGCCCUUGACUUUGGGAUAACUUCAGGAAACUGGGGCUAAUACCGGAUAGAAGCUCCUGCUGCAUGGUGGGGGUUGGAAAGUUUCGGCGGUUGGGGAUGGACUCGCGGCUUAUCAGCUUGUUGGUGGGGUAGUGGCUUACCAAGGCUUUGACGGGUAGCCGGCCUGAGAGGGUGACCGGCCACAUUGGGACUGAGAUACGGCCCAGACUCCUACGGGAGGCAGCAGUGGGGAAUAUUGCACAAUGGGCGGAAGCCUGAUGCAGCAACGCCGCGUGCGGGAUGACGGCCUUCGGGUUGUAAACCGCUUUCGCCUGUGACGAAGCGUGAGUGACGGUAAUGGGUAAAGAAGCACCGGCUAACUACGUG
rnacentral:rRNA from 1 species